rnacentral:lncRNA from 1 species
GUUUUGUUAUCUUUGAAUAGUGUUAUAUAAAGCUAUUACUUUGCACUUCUACUUAACUCAAGAUAGUAUCAAAGAAAGCAAUACUAUACAGGCAAGAGCUAAAAGGUUAAAACAUAUUUCCAGCAAGAUAAUUACUGUAAGGAAAGCAAUUAAUAUAUAUAACAAUGUGGAUUCUGACAGUGCAUGCAGUUACCAUUUGCAGAGCUCUUUGUAUCUUUGUGUGGAUCCAUAUUUCCAUUUGGUGUAGCUUUCCUUUUGCCCAAAGUAUCAUUUUUAACAUUUCUUGUACUUCUUGUCUGCUGCUGAGGAAUUUGUAUAGCUUUUGUUUUUCCGAAAAAUUCUUUAUUUCAACUUCAUUUUUGAAAGACAUUUUUGCCAAGUAUAGAAUUGUAGGUUGACAGUUUUUCUUUCAGUACUUUAAAGAUGUUGCUCCUUUGUGUUUUUGUGUUGUUUCCCUGAUGAAAUUUAUUCUUUUGCUUUUCUCUUGUUCCUCUGUAUGUGACAUCUUUUUAUCCUUUGGUUACUUUUGGGAUUUUCUGUUUACCACUGGUUUUGUGCAGUUGGUUAUGAUAUGCCUUCAGUUUUCUUCCUGUUACUUGUGCUUGAUGUUCAUUCAGGUUCUUGGAUCUGUGGAUUUAUAGUUUUUACCUGCGUAGGUUUUUAAGAGUGAACAAGAUGACCUGAGAUUUUAUAGUAUUUAAGAGUAUGUGAUUUAUCAGGGUUGCCAGGUAACACUGAAGUGUGCUAGUUAAUGAGCUUUUCAUUCAUUCAAAUUAACAAAGUAAGUGGAUGUGGUUCAGCAGAAGUUUUUCUUUUCACAAGGUGAACUUGCUUCCAGACUCUGCAUUAUAAAAAUAAGUGCCUUUACUUUAAUUUUUAUUCAUUUGGGCACUUGACCAGUUAGAGCUUUCCCAAUUGUGGCUUUCUGGCUCCAUGCUUAUUGGGAUAGAGCUUCUAGGAUAUGAUGAAUGGCUUGUUUGGACCAGGGAAUUGUCUCUUUACCCUAUUAUGGGAAUUCAGAUAGUACCCACUAUUCUUUACAGUGGUGACCCAGCUUCCACCUCAGUUGCAUUGAAGGGGCCCUUUCUAAUUUUGGUGCAUGUCAUUCCACCCUGGAUCUAUGGAGUUCACAACUGUUCCUUCUGCUAGUAGCCUUUAGUAGCCAUGUAAACACAUAAGUUGGAUUUCUCCUACUCUCUCCAAAAUCCUAUUUUAAAAGCCAGCCUGGGGAGUUAUCAGUAGCACUGAUUCAGCUUGGAACCAUCUGUGUGCUAAUAGGAAGGAACUGUCUUUUAUCAUAGGAAUCUCAAAUACUGGGGACCUUCUCUGUGACACCUUCUUUCUUAGUCCAGAAAUUAUUCAUAAAUCUCUAUUUACAUGCUAAUCCUGAAGUACCUUUUUUCUGUAUCUACUUGGAAUUUAACUCCCUCCCCCGAAAUGGCUCAGAUCCUCUAAUUAGGACUUAAACAUGUCAUCCUGUAUCUCUUCUUCUGGUUUACUUAUAACUGUGCUAGCCCAAAUCUGAAUGCUUCUCUGGUCCUAAUUGAAUGCUCAUUUGUGGAUUCAGGCCAAAUUCAGAAUCAAGGAGGUCUGUGGUAGAACAGGCUUUGAUCAGCAAAGCUACAGCACAUGGGGGAUAGGAUAUAAAAUCCUCCAGUUGGUGCAAGGGGAAGAAAGACUAGGAUCAUCUAUGACUCUCUUUAGCACCAGAAUAUGCAGAAUUUGAAGCUCUGGACCUUGGAGGGUUAAAAUAUGAAGUCUUGGAAAAUAUUUUCUAACACCUCCAGGAACACAGAGUGCUUAUUUCAGGAAUUACUGAAAAUGUAAAUCUCUGUUGUUUUCUUUUCCCAGUGAUGUAAUUGAUAGCUAGACACAUGGUCACAUCCCAAUUUAAUAAAAUUCCUCCAGCAAUAAAUCAUGACCAGAAGGGUAUUUUCAAUGUUUUGCCACCAGCAAGAGAAUGUCUUGCAUUUAAUAUAGGGAAAUGUAAACAGAGCAGGCAUUGCCGUUUCUUCAGGUUUUAAAAUCAUUAAUAAAGAUGUCUUUACUCUCGAAGGAAAGGGUGGUGAGCAGUCACAUUUUUAUUAUUCUACUGAAUAAGUGAAUUUACCCAGCACAUAAAUUAGCAAAUACAUUUUCUCCCUGCAGCACAUGUUGACAUUUUCUUGCAGAUGGCUCAGCAGAAGGGGAAACAAGAAAGGUGGUUAGUGACAAAGGACAGGCAUGUUUGGUCACUGUCUCUUGCCACUCAGAGGCACCGGCCUGCUUACCUCUCUCACCUAGCCAAUGGGCUUGCUGGGAGCAGGAGGGUCCGAGAGAUUGCAGACACUGUUGGGAAGGAUGGAGGAGGGAUAGGAAAGAAGUCGAAUCUACCUGACCCCUUAGAAUGGAUAUUUUCCAUUUCUAUAUUAAAUUUGUUUAUGUGAUUAUGAGUUGGAGAAAGGAUUUUCUCUAUUUUCUUUCCAUUUGGAAUCACUUCAGGUAGUUUGUGUACUGAUGAUGUUUUCUAGAUCCAUUAGUUGGGGAUGGGCUGUUUGACCUGCAGGCACUCUCAUUUUGGUUUAAGGCAAAUUGGAGGCAGGAUUUAGGAAGAAUAGAUGAGUGGAGCAGGGAUGAUCUCUCUCUCUCAAAAAAAAAAAAAAAAAAAAAA